GGGGAUGUAGCUCAGUGGUAGAGCGCUCGCUUUGCAUGUGAGAGGGCCCCGGGUUCAAACCCCGGCAUCUCCA